rnacentral:lncRNA from 1 species
AUAAACGGGCAUUUUCUUUGAAGAAAUUAUAUUUGCUAAAGACUUUGUCUCUGAUCACAAAUCCGCAAGCUUAAAUGUAAUUAGCCAUUUUAGAUCAAAACAGCAUGCUUAGGAAUUGGAAACAUCACCAAAAAGCACAACAAUUCUGUGUUUUAAUCGGCCAAAGUCUUGUGCUCUGUAUUGAUUCUACUGUUGAUUGCAAACACAAGACAUUUGACUGUUGAUUCUACCUCCUCUGCCCAUCGGAUUAGGUAGUAAAUUAUUCCUGCAUUCGUGUCAAAACCAAUGCACGGCCGGUGAGCUGCCUUGCAAAAUGAUUUCUUCACCGUGUUCUUUCGUCUCUCGUAGCUAUUUGGCUGACCAGGAAGACACAUAGGAGCCCAAAAGACAUCAUCGAUAACUUCGUUCACAUCCUCUGCUUUUUCAAGGAUGCUUGUGAUCAGCUAAUCUUGGAUGUAAAACUCAGAUAACAGUAACUCUUUGCCACAGUUUCUGCAAAAUUGAGCGUCAAAUUAAUGUAUAUGCGUGUUUGUCUCUUAGCUUGAGAAGCCAUUUACCAAAAAGAAAAAACUUGAGAGAAGUCGAAAAUUGAAACUCCAUUGAUGACAUUCUCCUCGGAGGUUGAACCCAGGAACUAAAAACUUGUAUGGUCCCUCCCAACUCUGUAGAUUGAGAGAGUUUGCAAUAAUUUUCAAGGAUCCAAGAAGAUCCAC